rnacentral:rRNA from 1 species
UGCAGUCGCGGUAAGGCCCCUUCGGGGGUACACGAGUGGCGAACGGGUGAGUAACACGUGAGUAACCUGCCCUUGACUCUGGGAUAACAGCUGGAAACAGCUGCUAAUACCGGAUACGAACCUCUUAGGCAUCUUCGAGGUUGGAAAGUUCCGGCGGUCAAGGAUGGACUCGCGGCCUAUCAGCUUGUUGGUGAGGUAAUGGCUCACCAAGGCGACGACGGGUAGCCGGCCUGAGAGGGCGACCGGCCACAUUGGGACUGAGAUACGGCCCAAACUCCUACGGGAGGCAGCAGUGGGGAAUAUUGCACAAUGGGCGAAAGCCUGAUGCAGCAACGCCGCGUGCGGGAAGACGGCCUUCGGGUUGUAAACCGCUUUCAGUAGGGACGAAGCUAACGUGACGGUACCUACAGAAGAAGCACCGGCUAACUACGUGCCAGCAGCCGCGGUGAUACGUAGGGUGCGAGCGUUGUCCGGAAUUAUUGGGCGUAAAGAGCUUGUAGGCGGUUUGUCACGUCGGGAGUGAAAACUCGGGGCUUAACCCCGAGCCUGCUUCCGAUACGGGCUGACUUGAGGAAGGUAGGGGAGAAUGGAAUUCCUGGUGAAGCGGUGGAAUGCGUAGAUAUCAGGAGGAACACCAGUGGCGAAGGCGGUUCUCUGGACCUUUCCUGACGCUGAGAAGCGAAAGCGUGGGGAGCAAACAGGCUUAGAUACCCUGGUAGUCCACGCCGUAAACGGUGGGUACUAGGUGUGGGGAACAUUCCACGUUCUCCGUGCCGCAGCUAACGCAUUAAGUACCCCGCCUGGGGAGUACGGCCGCAAGGCUAAAACUCAAUGAAAUUGACGGA